rnacentral:piRNA from 1 species
GAAUUGGGAAGCUGUGGCAUAGAUCUU